CGAACGACUCUCGGCAACGGAUAUCCCGGCUCUCGCAUCGAUGAAGAACGUAGCGAAAUGCGAUACUUGGUGUGAAUUGCAGAUCCCGUGAACCAUCGAGUCUUUGAACGCAAGUUGCGCCUGAAGCCAUUAGGCUGAGGGCACGUCUGCCUGGGUGUCACGC
rnacentral:rRNA from 1 species